rnacentral:pre_miRNA from 1 species
CAGCAGCAUCCUGGUGCUGAGUGAUGGCUGAACGACUCCAGCAUCAGCGAUUUUGUUGGC